rnacentral:rRNA from 1 species
AGAGUUUGAUCAUGGCUCAGAAUGAACGCUGGCGGCGUGCUUAACACAUGCAAGUCGAAUGAGAAAGUUCCGCAAGGGAUGAGUAGCAUGGCAGACGGGUGAGUAACGCGUAGGAAUCUACCUUUUAGUAAGGAAUACAUUUGAGAAAUCGAAUAUAAUACUGUAUACGUUUUCGAAAGAAAAGAAAGACGGCCUCUUGCUGUCGCUGAAAGAUGAGCCUGCGUACUAUUAGCUAGUUGGUAGGGUAAAGGCCUACCAAGGCGAUGAUGGUUAUCCGGCCUGAGAGGGCGAUCGGACACAUUGGGACUGAGAUACGGCCCUAACUCCUACGGGAGGCAGCAGUGGGGAAUUUUGCGCAAUGGGCGAAAGCCUGACGCAGCAACGCCGCGUGGAGGAUGAAGGUCUUUGGAUUGUAAACUUCUGUUAAUCGGGAAGAAAGAAUAAAGGUUAAUACCCUUUGUUUAUGACGGUACCGGUUUAGAAAGCCCCGGCUAACUUCGUGCCAGCAGCCGCGGUAAUACGAAGGGGGCAAGCGUUAUUCGGAAUGAUUGGGCGUAAAGGGCGCGUAGGCGGCGUAAUAAGUUUAUUGUUUAAUCUCCUGGCCUAACCAGGAACACGCAGUAAAUACUGUUAUGCUAGAGUUCGGAAGAGAGAAGUGGAAUUCUCGGAAGCGGUAAAAUGCGUAGAUCUCGAGAGGAACACCGAUGGCGAAGGCAGCUUCUUAGGACGAUACUGACGCUGAGGCGCGAAGGCGUGGGGAGCAAACAGGAUUAGAUACCCUAGUAGUCC